AAUAAGAUGCCUGAAUAAAGGGUUAUUUUGAUAGAAUAAAUUAUGUAAGCAUUACUCUUAUUG
rnacentral:tRNA from 1 species